GUUGUAUGGUUAAGUGACUAAGCGUACACGGUGGAUGCCUUGGCAGUCAGAGGCGAUGAAGGACGUAUUAACUUGCGAUAAGCCCAGAUUAGGCAGUAAAAGCCACUUGAGUCUGGGAUUUCCGAAUGGGGAAACCCAACUGCAUAAGCAGUUACUGUUAACUGAAUACAUAGGUUAACAGGGCGAACCGGGGGAACUGAAACAUCUAAGUACCCCGAGGAAAAGAAAU
rnacentral:rRNA from 1 species